CUCGGCACCGGGGUCGCGUCUACGUGGGGUUCACCGUCAACCCUACUCGUAGGGUCCAGCAGCACAACGGGGGCCGCAAGAAAGGAGGGGCCUGGCGGACCAGCGGGCGCGGGCCCUGGUAAGAGGGAGUGGAUUGCUGUCUGGAGCAGGGCUUCCAGGGAGAGGCGAGGCUCUGAGGAGAGGCCUGCCGAGAGGGGCGGGGCCAAGCCAGUGACAGUGGGCGGAGCCGGUGCGGUGGCUGAGAGCAGGGCCGGAAUGCGAGUUCCUGGUGCAAUGGCACCAAGGGUGGAGGAGCACGGUGGGGAGGCGGAGCCCUGUGAAACUCGGCUGUGGGACUAAGAGGCAGGGAUUGAGUGAGAAGGGGACUGAGGAUCUAGGGUUGGUCCGGUGACAGCGGCUGAUGAACAAGGCUGGGGUUGUAUCAGAGAGAGUCUGCAAGGGAGAGGACAGGGGGAGGGCAGGAGGCGGGGCCUGCGCUGGAGGCGGGGCCUGAGGUUGGCAGGUGUGAGAGGAUGCACCUUCGCGAAGGGGGCGGGGCCUCGCGGACUAGGCUUGAAGCCUGGCAUGAGGACUUCACUCUCAGGGCGAUGGUGCUUAUCGUGCACAGCUUCCCUUCCGCCGUGGCCGCCCUUCGGUUCGAGUGGGCCUGGCAGCACCCGCAAGCCUCACGCCGCCUGGCUCAUGUGGGCCCGCGCCUGCGCAGCGAGGCCGCCUUCGCUUUCCACCUGCGCGUGCUGGCACACAUGCUGCGCGUGCCGCCUUGGGUGCGCCUCCCGCUCACCGUGCGCUGGCUGCGCGCCGACUUCCGAUGUGACCUCUGCCCACCGCCACCGCCGCACAUGCCGCUGACCUUUGGGCCUCCGCCGCCCCCCCGCGCCGUGGCCCCGAAGCGCCGCGCCGGACCCUUAGCUGACCUGGAGUCCGAGCCUGACCAAGAUGCCGAGGCCUGCUGCGCCCUGUGCGCACGCUCCUUCCAGGAUGAAGAGGGCCCCCUGUGCUGCCCCCACCCUGGCUGCCGCCUCAGGGCCCACGUGAUCUGCCUUGCAGAGGAGUUCCUGGAGAAGGAGCCAGGGCAGCUUCUGCCCCUAGAGGGUCAAUGCCCUGGCUGUAAGAACUCACUGCUGUGGGGAGACCUGAUCUGGCUGUGCCAGAUGGGCACCAAGGAGGAAGAAGAGAACUUGGAAUUAGAAGAGGAACACUGGACAGACAUGCUGGAGACCUGAUCCUCCGCCCACUGCUUGUUUGUGCCACUCCUAGCCCCUUCAGACCCAGUGAGAGAAAAGCACCUUCUGGGGGCCAUGGUUCUUUUGCCAACCAUGAAUGAAUCUCCAUGAAAUCCCUUGGGAAUCAUGAAGCUGGACUCACUCCCAGGGUUAUUAGACUCGGCAUUCUUCCUCCCUUUUCUGCUCCACCCCAGACUCUGUCAUGCUGCCCACCCAUAUUGCUCUGUACUGGCCUUGCUGUCAGAGGUCAAGAGUAACAGUUUUUAGAAUCCCUGGGCUGCUGGGGGCCUGUGCGGCACCCCCCAGCCUGAACCUUUGGCAUCUCCAAGACUGGCCUGGAGCCAGCCAGGAAGGUGAGUGACCCUGCUCACGGGAGUGUCCCAUGUUUCCUCUCCACCCUGCCCCCUCUCAACUGGCUGGAUCCAUUAGAAAAAGCUGUUGGUUGGCCCGCCCUGCAGGGGUGGAGUUUGGAAGGCAGGUCAGGAGCCAGGAUUACAGCUCAAAAAACCCCCAAAAGACAAAAAUGAAAGCUUACUGGGCCCUGUUGUCUAGAUUCACUCUUAUUUUCUGCAUGCUAAACCCGUAUCUUGGAUUUUCGGGUCAGUCUAAGCUGGGCUCUGGCUAAGGUGCUGAGGAGGGGAGCACAGGGGGGCCCUCCCACUCUAAACUCCACCCUUUCCUUCCUGGAGGACGGCCAGAUCCCAGUGCUGGCUCCAGAGACCUCCCACUUUGGACUUAGAAAUGCUUCAGCUCAGAAAGCAGUUCUGUACUCCCCACAACUGCACCCAGUAAGCCACAGCACAAAGGAGCCACAAGGCCAAGAUCCAGAGAGGGAAGUAGGCUGCACUCUGGCCCCUGACGCAGCGGCAUGGAGCUGGUCCCGGACACCUCACGCCCGCCACUGCAGUACGUGAAGGGGAUCCCUCUCAUCAAGUACUUUGCCGAGGCACUGGGACCACUGCAGAACUUCCAGGCCCAGCCCGAUGACCUGCUUAUCAGCACCUACCCCAAAUCGGGCACCACCUGGGUGAGCGAGAUCCUGGACAUGAUCCACUCCUGGCAACCUGGCUGUGAG